rnacentral:rRNA from 1 species
GACGAACGCUGGCGGCGUGCUUAAUACCUGCAAGUAUGACGCAGUUGCGAACGGGUGAGUAACGCGUAGGUAACUACCUAUUAGAGGGGGAUAAUUAUUGGAAACGAUAGAUAAUACCGCAUACUAGUAGAUGGACCUGCGUUGUAUUAGCUAGUAGGUAGGGUAAUGGACUACCUAGGCAACGAUACAUAGCCGACCUGAAAGGGUGAUCGGCCACACUGGGACGAAGACACGGGCCAGACUCUGACGGGAGGCAGCAGUAGGGAAUCGUCGGCAAUGGGGGGAACGCUGACAGGCAAACGCGGCGUGAGUAAAGAAGGUGAUCGGACAGUAAAACUCUGUUAUUAGGGAAGCGGUACCUAAUCAGAAAGCAACGGCUAACUACGUGCCAGCCGCCGCGGUAAUAC